rnacentral:rRNA from 1 species
GAUGAACGCUGGCGGCGUGCUUAACACAUGCAAGUCGAACGGAACUACUCCAAUGAGCGUCUUCGGAAAGGAUUUGGUUUAGUUUAGUGGCGGACGGGUGAGUAACGCGUGGGUAACCUGCCCUAUACAGGGGGAUAACAGUUGGAAACGACUGUUAAUACCGCAUAAGCGCACAGGAGCGCAUGCUCCGGUGUGAAAAACUCCGGUGGUAUAGGAUGGACCCGCGUCUGAUUAGCUGGUUGGCGGGGUAACGGCCCACCAAGGCGACGAUCAGUAGCCGGUCUGAGAGGGUGAACGGCCACAUUGGGACUGAGACACGGCCCAAACUCCUACGGGAGGCAGCAGUGGGGAAUAUUGCACAAUGGGGGAAACCCUGAUGCAGCGACGCCGCGUGAGCGAAGAAGUAUCUCGGUAUGUAAAGCUCUAUCAGCAGGGAAGAAAAUGACGGUACCUGACGAAGAAGCCCCGGCUAACUACGUG